rnacentral:misc_RNA from 1 species
AAAAGAACCAUCCAACAAGAACGCAGCUCAAUUGAGCAAUUUAGUGAGAAAGUACAGAAAUACAUGUGUGUUGUGUAAAGACUACAUGGUAAGUUAAAUUGACAAAAAAUAUGUUUCUAUUUCUUUGCAAUGCUAAUGACACAAAAUAUACAUUUCUCACAUUUUUUACAUUUUCAAAAAUUAAUAUCUUCUAUAAUCAUUGCAAAAAAUUUAAAGAUAACUCCGCCCAAGCAAUUUGUGCUUAGCCGGUCCCAAGCCUAGAUAAAUGAAGAAGGUUGCGGUAGGUGGCAAUUAGCGUAAAAAUUUUGUCACACCUUAUGAUAUAGAUUCUCUAUUUGGACAUAAUUAUGAAGAAUUUAUAUUCCCUAUAUCUGCCUUCUAUCAUCUUUCAUUGAUUCCAGACGUUAAUUAACUGUUGCAGGCUACGCUAUGCACAAUAGCUGCA